CUUUUAAUGGAAUGCAGAGCUCAGAGUAGUUAAUUAUUUGUUAGUCGAAGAUGCAUUCAGCAUGUUGAUGAACUCUUGUUAAUAAACACUGAGUGAAUGGAAAUAGUUAACCUUUACUGUUCUGCAUGAGGUACCUUGUGAAGCACAUGACGUUCCAGACUGUAGUUUUUCAAGGAAGAGAGAUGAUGACGGAUAAUGCUUAUUAAAGUCUAAGGAUUAAAAUAUGGAUGACAGUCAUACUCCAAGCUUCAAAAUUGAGAAGACUGGAUAUAGUGUAUGCUGACUUAAGUUGUUGGAGAACUUUUGUGGUGGUCAUUUCUAUUUGAUUGUGAAAGGUUGAUUUUAAAUACAGUCAAAAACAUCAGCCACCCUGCGUUGCUCAAGAUAUAGAAAGGAGAAGGUUUGGAAGGCAUAAGACAAAGAAAAGGACACUAAAACAGCCUCCAAUACCUUAGCAGUGACUGGGAUAAUGCAGAGUAAGGCCUAAACUUGGCAAGAGCUGUGGUGCACAAGUCAACUAUCUACAGAAAGUCUCCGUACAAACAUGCAUUUCUGUAAAUUAGAGUUAAAGCAAGUGUCUGAUUCAAGGAAUUCAGCUAGCCAGAAGUGGGAGCAAUCAUUCUAUGCAUUAGAAGAUCUGUGCUUUCACAUUAAACCCUAACUUCCUGUGCACAUGCCCAGUCAUGCUUAAGGGGAAAAUAGGAAAAUGCAGUGAAACCAGCCUUUGACCCAGAGUGGAAUUCUCUAACCAAGGAUGAAGCAUGUAACUAGUUUCAGCUCCUCAGAAUGAACACAUGGACCUACAAAAGCUUUCAUGGAGUGCUCCUCAGAAUUUUGUGUGCUCAUCCCUCAUUUGGCUUUAGCAAGAACUCACUGUCAUUUGGUCAGGGUCCUGCAUCAUGAAUUCUGAAUUCUGAUUGGCUGAGAGGGAUUUGCUGACAGCACGCCAGUGGGAAAAGACAGUGUUUCCAGAAAAAGAAUAUGAACAUGAUUUUAAACAGUUACCAACAACUAUUGUCUUAACUUGAAGUCUAGUACUAGCAGUUACAAUAAAGUAUGACACCUUA